AAGUAGCUCAGGACACAGGACAUCAGGAAGGAUGCUGUGCUAAAAAUGAAAGUCUACAUAAGAAAGGUCCACCCAAUUGAGGCAUCCAACUUUACACAAGCCACUUAGCCUUUCUAAGCCUCAGUUUCCUCAGCUGUAUAGAGGGGAUUUCAUUACCUCCUUCUUGUUUCCUUGGAUCGCCAGUGCCUUCCUAUCAUUCCCCACCGGCAAGCCCCUCUGUCACACGGUGUUUCUGAAGCAUCAGAGCUUCUCAGUGACUGAUAAGAACUCCUUCUCCCCCAGGAUUAUUUCAGGAUUCUCUGAUGACACGUCAAAUCCCUUUCCUGUGAUGGUAAAUCAGUAGGUUCAGCCACACGAGGAAGCACAGC
rnacentral:lncRNA from 1 species